rnacentral:lncRNA from 1 species
UCGAUAAUUUAGCACCAUAAAAUAUGGAACCACGUCUGACGGUUACAAAAUCUUCAUCUAUAAAAGGGGGUAAGAAAAACAGGACUGGUAAGCCACUUUUGGCCAGAACUCUGCUACUCUGAAUUUUGAUAUCUACUGUUCACCAACUUCUCUCUCUAACUUAGGCAUCGAAGGAUCCCCACUAGACACAAAUUCGAUCAGUGUGGACAUUAUCUUGCAAGUAUUCAUUCUCGACGACAGGCGACAGGGAGUUGUCCCCAACAGAUUGGUGCACCAGGUAAGUGAAAAAGAGACAAUAUUCACCAUGGAGAAAAUCAGAACCCAACAUUCGACUGCAAUCG